GGAGAAUGCGUUCGAUGGUGGUGUUGAGAGAUACCUAACAGAGUUGGCAGGCCCAAGAGAAUAUUAGCGGAGAGGGACUGAGUAGGACGAGAGGAAGAGGGAGUGCAGGCUUGCACAGGAGUGCACACACCACUCCUCCAGCCCUUGCCACACUACAAUCCUGGAAUUCCUGAGACUCUGCCUUGAGAAGGUGCACCUGGAGCUUAUCAGGAGCACUGUUUGCUCCCAGCAACUAGCACUGUCUAAUGAUCACCUGGGCUUUAGCAAACAGCCUCGGAAACUCAUUUUUCUGUCUGAACAACAACCCAAGUGAAAUAAUAUUUUCAUUAUCAAAUUUUAAAAGAAAUUUUCUGACCUGAAUUGUGGCCAAGAUGAAAGGUUACUAUGACUAAAGCCACCUCUCUUGUGAUUCUGAAAACAGCAGCCUAAAGUGAGAUCCUCUGAGCUCUCCCAGACCAUAGCAGCUGCAACCAGCAACCUCCCUCUGCCUGGGAUAUCUCUCAGAGCCAGUGAACUCUUGAGUUUGCUCUGCUCAAAGGAUCACUGAAUGAUGAUGAUUGUUCUGGGCUGAUACCCCAGCUCCUCAAGGCUCAACCCUGUGCCCAUUAAGAAGAUGCAAAGACAUCUGAAGUGAGCACUUCACUGAACUCCAGGGAGAACUAGCAAUGCCUCAAUGUUUAUUAUUUGGGUAAGGAGUGAAAUGAGGACUGUGAAAUACAGUAGAAUCCUUACCUGUACAGCAGUCAGUGGAAGUCUUGGAGAAUGAAUGAACUCAAAAAGAAGAACAGCUGCCUGAGGCACCAAUACAGGGCAUCCGUGACAGAUAAAGGAACUGACAAAGUCAGAGGGGCACCACUGGCUGCAGGAGCUCAUGGAGGGAUUUCCAGACAAGAAGCAUACAGCAGCAUGGAGCUUCUGGAAUAUUAAUUAUGUGUAGCUUAUUUCAAGAUUCGAAGAUAUGGUUGUAACCACCUGAUUACAUCUAUCCCACAAUUGGAAUACAUUCUGCUGAGAGCAAAAGUGAAACUGGGAUCUGCUGCUGAACACAAACAUCACUUUACUAGGUCACUUAGAGAACAUCUCUUUCCUCAAAGCCUCUCAGAGGGAUUGGUGUGAUUAGGCCACCAUCAGGUUGAAAAGGUCAGUUCGUUGGAAUCUCUUCCUCGCUUCUCUGGAAAAGCUCCAGAUGGCCUAAAUAACACUCUGGUGUGCUUCUGUGGAUGAUGCCGAGCCUACAUUCAGGUGAAUCGUUAGAACACAUUCUCUCCAGCUGACUCUGUGCAGCGUAGAACAGGGAAGCUGUUCAGAGGCAGAGACACUCCAUCAAUAAGGAGAUGUAUGUACUGUAGGUUAAAAUAAGAGGGCCCACAGAAAGGUGUCAUAAGAGUUGGGAAAGUCAGAAUAGCAGGUAAUCUACACUGGAGUUUAGUUUUGAGAAGAAAGACACCUUCUGAGACAUGUCUUACCACUGAUUAUCAUCUCAUAGCUGUCUUGCAGAAUUAGAACUUUCUUAUGGAAGCAUAUUGAAAGAUCGCCAGCAUAUCUGUGGUGUGGGUGCUGGGUCUGCAGCCCCAGUUGAUUCACUGCAUUAGCCCAUGUUGAACAAAUCAAUGCAAUGAAGGCCUGAGAAAAGGUGUGGAAAAGUCCUUCUGUGAGAUUAAAAUGGGGAUAAAAAUAUUUGCUGUGCUAAGCAAAUCUGGCCUGGAGAUUGACAGGAAAUAAAACAGUGAAAACUACAAAGAGGAAACAAAUAUGAGUGCUAGAGAGUAUCAGUGGACCAGAUAUGAAGGAAAGGAGGUGGAUUAGGAAAGAUAGGACUUAAAUCAAGAGUGGAGAGAUAAGAUUAGGAGGACAAGACUUUAAUUAAAUAAUGAGUGCAGUAGAAGUAGUAACUAAUUAAUUGAGAAGGAUGAAAGGGAGGAGGUGAAAGAGAGGAAGACCAGGGAAGAGACAGGGAAAGGACAAAUGAGAGGAAAUGUAAAGUGGCAAAUCAGGGUUAGGGAAGACAGACACUCCAUAUGUAGCAGAAAUUUUGCUCCAAUACCUCAUCAUUCCUGAGUGGUUGUUCUUGCUCUUCAGUUCACCUUUACUCCUCUACUCCUGUUAGAUUCCUGAUGUUCUCUAACCUAUGGACUUGUUUUCCAUAUCUUCUUAGAUGGAUCUCAUUAACCAACUGUAAUCUCAGUACAGCCUUUAAACAAUGCUGUUUGGAAGCUGAUGUUGUCAAUACAAUUCCUGUUCUCUUCAGCUGACUUAGUACUUAAAUGAAGGCUCAUAGCUAUGUAAUUGUCUCAGCAUUACUCCUGCUCUGUCUGGACUGAAACACCAGAAGACUAAGGCUGAAGUGCAACAGUUGUACAAAGAAAUCUGGUUCAAUUAAACAUGUUCAACAACCAAAAUUUUUUGUAUCAAUACUAUUCUAAAUAUUAUAAGAAUAAAAUUCCUGCAAC